rnacentral:rRNA from 1 species
AACGAACGCUGGCGGCAGGCUUAACACAUGCAAGUCGAGCGCGUAGCAAUACGAGCGGCAGACGGGUGAGUAACGCGUGGGAACGUACCCUUUUCUACGGAAUAACGCAGGGAAACUUGUGCUAAUACCGUAUACGCCCUUUUGGGGAAAGAUUUAUCGGGGAAGGAUCGGCCCGCGUUGGAUUAGCUAGUUGGUGGGGUAAAGGCCUACCAAGGCGACGAUCCAUAGCUGGUCUGAGAGGAUGAUCAGCCACAUUGGGACUGAGACACGGCCCAAACUCCUACGGGAGGCAGCAGUGGGGAAUAUUGGACAAUGGGCGCAAGCCUGAUCCAGCCAUGCCGCGUGAGUGAUGAAGGCCCUAGGGUUGUAAAGCUCUUUCACCGGAGAAGAUAAUGACGGUAUCCGGAGAAGAAGCCCCGGCUAACUUCGUG